rnacentral:rRNA from 1 species
UAACCUCAGAUCAGGCAAGAUUACCCGCUGAAUUUAAGCAUAUUACUAAGCGGAGGAAAAGAAACUAACAAGGAUCCCCCAGUAAUGGCGAAUGAAGAGGGAACAGCUCAACUUGAAAAUCUCCGUUGUGUUGCAGCGGCGAAUUGUAGUUUCGAGAAGUACUUUCCCGGCGCAACGAGUCUGCCUAAGUUGCUUGGAACAGCACGUCACAGAGGGUGACAACCCCGUACGUGGCAAUGCUCGAGCGCUCGCGAUGUGCUUUCGAAGAGUCGGGUUGUUUGGGAAUGCAGCCCAAAACGGGUGGUAAACUCCAUCUAAAGCUAAAUACAGGCACGAGACCGAUAGCGAACAAGUACCGUGAGGGAAGAUGAAAGGACUUUGAAAAGAGAGUUAAAGAGUACGUGAAACCGUUGAAAGGGAAGCGAAUGGAGUUAGCAAUUCGCCCCGCCAGAUUCAGUCGCUCGCGCAUCGCGACGGUCGCGCUCUCGAUCCGCAUGGACGAGGCGCGCUCGGACGCGGUGCGCGGACGGCGCACUUCUGGCGAGCGAGCGUCAGCGUCGGUUGUCGACGGGCGAUAAGGUCGCAAGGAAGGUGGACCGGCCUCGCGGCUGGUUGUUAAGACUUGCGCUCGCAUAGCUCGUCGGCGACCGUGGUCUGCGGCGCGUGCUCGGCUGGCGACCCGACCGAUCGGUCCGGCAUGUCGACCGUGGCGGACGGCACGCCUGUGCGCUCGAACCGCUGCCUGUCGAUCGUGACGGUGUUCGCACACUACGCGCCUAGGAUGCUGACGACCAUACGGCUCCAUCCGACCCGUCUUGAAACACGGACCAAGGAGUCUAACAUGUGCGCGAGUCUCCGGGUGAUCGAAACCCGUGGCGCAAUGAAAGUAAAGGCCGUCCUCGGACGGUUGAGGUGAGAAGCGGCGUUCACAUUCGUCGCCGCAUCAUCGACCGACCUUGUCUGCUCUCAGAGAGGUUUGAGUAAGAGCGUAUCUGUUGGGACCCGAAAGAUGGUGAACUAUGCCUGAAUAGGGUGAAGCCAGCGGAAACACUGGUGGAAGCUCGUAGCGUUCUGACGUGCAAUCGAUCGUCGAAUUUGGGUAUAGCGGCGAAAGACUAAUCGAACCAUCUAGUAGCUGGUUCCCUCCGAAGUUUCCCUCAGGAUAGCUGGAGUUCAUACAUGCAGUUUUAUCAGGUAAAGCGAAUGAUUAGAGGUCUUAGGGUCGAAAUGACCUUAACCUAUUCUCAAACUUUAAAUUGGUAAGAAGUCCGACUUGCUCGAUUGAAGCCGGACACUCGAAUGCGAGCUCUUAGUGGGCCAUUUUUGGUAAGCAGAACUGGCGAUGCGGGAUGAACCGAACGCCGAGUUAAGGUGCCGAAGUCGACGCUCAUCAGAUCCCACGAAAGGUGUUAGUUGAUAUUGACAGCAGGACGGUGGCCAUGGAAGUCGGAAUCCGCUAAGGAGUGUGUAACAACUCACCUGCCGAAUCAACUAGCCCUGAAAAUGGAUGGCGCUCAAGCGUCGCACCUAUACUCGGCCGUCGGAGCAAGCGCGACGUUCCGACGAGUAGGAGGGCGCGGCGGUCGUGACGCAGCCUUUGGCGCGAGCCAGGGUGAAACGGCCGCCGGUGCAGAUCUUGGUGGUAGUAGCAAAUAUUCAAAUGAACUUUGAAGACUGAAGUGGAGAAAGGUUCCAUGUGAACAGCAGUUGGACAUGGGUUAGUCGAUCCUAAGAGAUAGGGAAAUUCCGUUACAAAGCGUCCCAUUCGCGGACCGCCUAUCGAAAGGGAAUCGGGUUAAUAUUCCCGAACCAGAACAGGGAUACUGCCACCUAGUGGCACAAGCGGCAACGCAACCGACCUCGGAGACGUCGGCGAGGCCCCGGGAGAGUUCUCUUUUCUUUUUAACGGGCACGUUACCUGAAAUCGGUUUAGCGGAGAUAGGGUUUCACGUCCGGUAAAGCCCCAACUUCUUUUGGGGUCCGGUGCGCUUUCGACGGCCCUUGAAAUCCGAGCGAGUCGUUCAUUUUCUUGUCUGGUCGUACUCAUACCGCAGCAGGUCUCCAGGUGGCAGCCUCUAGUUGAUAGACAUGUAGGUAAGGGAAGUCGGCAAAUAGAUCCGUAACUUCGGGAAAGGAUUGGCUCUAAGGGUUGGGUCUGUCGGGCUGGGACUUGAAGCGCGGGACUCGGCGUGGGCUGACGGAGAUGCGUGGCUUGCUGCGCGUCGAAGUCGGACUGCGAAGGGACUUCGCGUGGAUUGACUCAGCUGUGACCGUCAGGUCGAUUCGGCAGGCGAUUAACAACCAACUUGAACUGGAACGGACAAGGGGAAUCCGACUGUUUAAUUAAAACAAGCAUUGCGAUGGCUGGUGACUGGUGUUGACGCAAUGUGAUUUCUGCCAGUGCUCUGAAUGUCAAGUGAAGUAAUUCUCCAGCGCGGGUAACGGCGGAGUACUAUGACUCUCUUAGGUAGCCAAUGCCUCGUCAUCUAAUUAGUGACGC